rnacentral:rRNA from 1 species
GACGAACGCUGGCGGCGUGCUUAACACAUGCAAGUCGAACGGAAAGGCCCUGCUUUUGUGGGGUGCUCGAGUGGCGAACGGGUGAGUAACACGUGAGUAACCUGCCCUUGACUUUGGGAUAACUUCAGGAAACUGGGGCUAAUACCGGAUAGGAGCUCCUGCUGCAUGGUGGGGGUUGGAAAGUUUCGGCGGUUGGGGAUGGACUCGCGGCUUAUCAGCUUGUUGGUGGGGUAGUGGCUUACCAAGGCUUUGACGGGUAGCCGGCCUGAGAGGGUGACCGGCCACAUGGGGACGGAGAUACGGCCCAGACUCCUACGGGAGGCAGCAGUGGGGAAUAUUGCACAAUGGGCGGAAGCCUGAUGCAGCAACGCCGCGUGCGGGAUGACGGCCUUCGGGUUGGAAACCGCUUUCGCCUGUGACGAAGCGUGAGUGACGGUAAUGGGUAAAGAAGCACCGGCUAACUACGU